rnacentral:rRNA from 1 species
GAUGAACGCUAGCGGCAGGCUUAAUACAUGCAAGUCGAGGGGUAGCAAGAUUGUAGCAAUACAAUUGUUGACGACCGGCAAACGGGUGCGGAACACGUACACAACCUUCCUACAAGUGGGGAAUAGCCCAGAGAAAUUUGGAUUAAUACCCCGUAACAUAGCGAUGUGGCAUCACAUUGCUAUUAUAGCUUCGGCGCUUGUUGAUGGGUGGGAGGCUGAUUAGAUAGUUGGCGGGGUAACGGCCCACCAAGUCUACGAUCAGUAGCUGAGAGGAGAGCAUGAUCAGCCACACGGGCACUGAGACACGGGCCCGACUCCUACGGGAGGCAGCAGUAAGGAAUAUUGGACAAUGGGCGCAAGUCUGAUCCAGCCAUGCCUCGUGAAGGAUUAAGGUCCUCUGGAUUGUAAACUUCUUUUAUAAGGGACGAAAAAAGGUCUUUCUAGAUCGUCUGACGGUACCUUAUGAAUAAGCACCGGCUAACUCCGUGCCAGCCGCCGCAGUAAGAC